AGUGAACGCUGGCGGUAGGCCUAACACAUGCAAGUCGAACGGCAGCACAGGAGAGCUUGCUCUCUGGGUGGCGAGUGGCGGACGGGUGAGGAAUACAUCGGAAUCUACUCUGUCGUGGGGGAUAACGUAGGGAAACUUACGCUAAUACCGCAUACGACCUACGGGUGAAAGCAGGGGAUCUUCGGACCUUGCGCGAUUGAAUGAGCCGAUGUCGGAUUAGCUAGUUGGCGGGGUAAAGGCCCACCAAGGCGACGAUCCGUAGCUGGUCUGAGAGGAUGAUCAACCACACUGGAACUGAGACAAGGUCCAGACUCCUACGGGAGGCAGCAGUGGGGAAUCUCGGACAAUGGGCGCAAGCCUGAUCCAGCCAUACCGCGUGGGUGAAGAAGGCCUUCGGGUUGUAAAGCCCUUUUGUUGGGAAAGAAAUCCAGCUGGCUAAUACCCGGUUGGGAUGACGGUACCCAAAGAAUAAGCACCGGCUAACUUCGUGCCAGCCGCCGCCGUAA
rnacentral:rRNA from 1 species